rnacentral:rRNA from 1 species
AAGGAAUAUUGGGCAAUGGACGCAAGUCUGACCCAGCCAUGCCGCGUGCAGGAAUGAAGGCCCUAUGGGUCGUAAACUGCUUUUGUACAGGAAAAAUAGCCUGGUCGUGACCGGGUUUGAUGGUACUGUACGAAUAAGCAUCGGCUAACUCCGUGCCAGCAGCCGCGGUAAUACGGAGGAUGCAAGCGUUAUCCGGAUUUAUUGGGUUUAAAGGGUGCGUAGGCGGGGCAGCAAGUCAGUGGUGAAAUCUUUCGGCUUAACCGAAAAACUUCCAUUGAAACUGUUGUCCUUGAGUAUACUUGGAGUGGGCGGAAUGUGUCAUGUAGCGGUGAAAUGCUUAGAUAUGACACAGAACACCAAUCGCGAAGGCAGCUCACUAAAUUAUAACUGACGCUGAAGCACGAAAGCGUGGGGAUCAAAC